UACGUUUCCGGGCCUUGUACACACCGCCCGUCACGUCACGAAAGUCGGUAACGCCCGAAGCCGGUGGCCCAACCCUUGUGGAGGGAGCCGUCGAAGGCGGGAUCGGCGAUUGGGACG
rnacentral:rRNA from 1 species